rnacentral:tRNA from 1 species
AGCUUAGUGGUAGAGCGCUUGCCUAGUAUGCAUGAAGUCCUGGGUUCGAUUCCCCAG